rnacentral:rRNA from 1 species
AUGCAAGUCGAACGAGAAAUCUUUAGCUUGCUAGAGAAAGUAAAGUGGCGCACGGGUGAGUAACGCGUGGGUAAUCUGCCUCCGAAUCGGGGAUAACAUUGCGAAAGCGAUGCUAAUACCGGAUAAAAUCUGGUUGGCUUAGGUGAACCGGAUCAAAGGUGGUCUCUUUAUAAAAGCUACCGUUUGGAGAUGAGCUCGCGUACCAUUAGCUAGUUGGUGAGGUAAAGGCUCACCAAGGCGACGAUGGUUAGCUGGUCUGAGAGGAUGAUCAGCCACACCGGAACUGGAACACGGUCCGGACUCCUACGGGAGGCAGCAGUGAGGAAUUUUGCGCAAUGGGGGAAACCCUGACGCAGCAACGCCGCGUGAGUGAUGAAGGCUUUCGGGUCGUAAAGCUCUGUCAGGUGGGAAGAACCCACCAAGUGUUAAGACCACUUGGUGCUGACGGUACCACCGAAGGAAGCACCGGCUAACUCCGUGCCAGCAGCCGCGGUAAUACGGGGGGUGCGAGCGUUAUUCGGAAUCAUUGGGCGUAAAGGGCGCGCAGGCGGUUUUGUAAGUCAGAUGUGAAAUCCCGGGGCUUAACCCCGGAAGUGCAUAUGAAACUAUGAGACUUGAGUAUGGGAGAGGGAAGCGGAAUUCCUGGUGUAGCGGUGAAAUGCGUAGAUAUCAGGAGGAACACCGGUGGCGAAGGCGGCUUCCUGGACCAAUACUGACGCUGAGGCGCGAAGGCGUGGGGAGCGAACAGGAUUAGAUACCCUGGUAGUCCACGCAGUAAACGUUGAUCACUAGGUGUAGCGGGUAUU